AAACCAUGUUGUGGACACUUCCUGAGCAGUCCUUUGAACCUUUCACAUGCCUCGUACAAGGAUUCACUUUCUUUUUGUUCAAAAGAAGUGAUAUCUGCUUUAAGUUU